CCUACGGGAGGCUGCAGUGGGGAAUAUUGGACAAUGGGGGCAACCCUGAUCCAGUCAUGCCGCGUGUGAAGAAGGCCCUCGGGUUGUAAAGCACUUUCAGUGAGGAAGAACGCCUGGUGGUUAAUACCCAUCAGGAAAGACAUCACUCACAGAAGAAGCACCGGCUAACUCCGUGCCAGCAGCCGCGGUAAUACGGAGGGUGCGAGCGUUAAUCGGAAUUACUGGGCGUAAAGCGCGCGUAGGUGGCUUGAUAAGCCGGUUGUGAAAGCCCCGGGCUCAACCUGGGAACGGCAUCCGGAACUGUCAAGCUAGAGUGCAGGAGAGGAAGGUAGAAUUCCCGGUGUAGCGGUGAAAUGCGUAGAGAUCGGGAGGAAUACCAGUGGCGAAGGCGGCCUUCUGGACUGACACUGACACUGAGGUGCGAAAGCGUGGGUAGCAAACAGGAUUAGAUACCCCGGUAGUC
rnacentral:rRNA from 1 species